GGGAAUGUGGUGAAAUCGGUAAACACAACGGACUUAAAAUCCGUUGGCUUUUAAAAGCCUUGAGGAUUCAAGUUCCUCCAUUCCUA
rnacentral:tRNA from 1 species